rnacentral:rRNA from 1 species
AACGCGAAGAACCUUACCUACUCUUGACAUCCUGCGAACUUGGUAGAGAUACCUUGGUGCCUUCGGGAACGCAGAGACAGGUGCUGCAUGGCUGUCGUCAGCUCGUGUUGUGAAAUGUUGGGUUAAGUCCCGUAACGAGCGCAACCCUUGUCCUUAGUUGCCAUCAUUUAGUUGGGGACUCUAAGGAGACUGCCGGUGACAAACCGGAGGAAGGCGGGGACGACGUCAAGUCAUCAUGGCCCUUACGAGUAGGGCUACACACGUGCUACAAUGGCAAGUACAGAGGGCCGCGAAGCCGCGAGGUGGAGCUAAUCUCACAAAGCUUGUCGUAGUCCGGAUUGGAGUCUGCAACUCGACUCCAUGAAGUCGGGAUCGCUAGUAAUCGCAAAUCAGAAUGUUGCGGUGAAUACGUUCCCGGGUUCUUGUACACACCG